CGGGGAAUAUUGGACAAUGGGCGAAAGCCUGAUCCAGCCAUGCCGCGUGAGUGAUGAAGGCCUUAGGGUUGUAAAACUCUUUCGCCGGGGAAGAUAAUGACGGUACCCGGAGAAGAAGCUCCGGCUAACUUCGUGCCAGCAGCCGCGGUAAUACGAAGGGAGCUAGCGUUGUUCGGAAUUACUGGGCGUAAAGCGCACGUAGGCGGGCUAUUAAGUCAGGGGUGAAAUCCCGAGGCUCAACCUCGGAACUGCCUUUGAUACUGAUAGUCUUGAGAUCGGGAGAGGUGAGUGGAAUUCCUAGUGUAGAGGUGAAAUUCGUAGAUAUUAGGAAGAACACCAGUGGCGAAGGCGGCUCACUGGCCCGAUACUGACGCUGAGGUGCGAAAGCGUGGGGAGCAAACAGGAUUAGAUACCCUAGUAGUCCCUGAGCGGGCUGGCAAGGCGCAU
rnacentral:rRNA from 1 species